GCCAGACUUGCAAGUCCUAGCAGGAGGAGCCUUUCCUUUCAGGAUAUUUGCCAAGCAUUCUUGUCUCACUGAAUUGUCUUGCUGCCUGUCACUACAUCACCCAGCUAUUUACCCUAUUUCGUAUAUACUAUGUGGUACCUCCUGCCAAGCCUUCUCCAUUUCAGUAAUUUUUACAGGCAAGACCACCAGUGAGGAAAUGGGACCAGCAAUGAACUCCAGGAAACCAAUAUUUCAGGAACACAUGGAAGAAAGGGAGUCAACAACAGCGAAGCUCGAAACAAUGUCGAGAGAGACUGAGAGAGAGAGAGAGAGAAAUAAAAUAACUGAGUUGUAAGAAGAGAAUGUCCAGGUAGGGACAAGGGAGAGGUGAAACAUGGGGAGUGGCGGGGGGAGAUUAGGUAACUGGGCAUUAUCCCUCUAGCCCAGGGUGGAUUGAGGGAUGGGGGGAGAAGGCUGUGCAACGCCAUACACUCCUAGAAAAAGAGAGGUGGGACAUUUCACCUGGAGAAAGACAUUUGUUGUUUAGUUUAUGACACAGGUGGAAUCAUCAUUAAUCCCUGGGACAGAGAACCA
rnacentral:lncRNA from 1 species